rnacentral:sRNA from 1 species
CCCUUUAUUCUCUUCACUGCUCCCCCACAAAAUUUUAAAUUCUCGAAAUCUUUUGCUAAUUGAGAUUUUCAUCUUGUGCAAACACAGGGCAUUUUUGGCAGUUGGAGAACAAAGCAAUCCAAGGUAAACAGCUCUAGGCUUUGGAUUGGUGUGUAACAAAUACGCGUGGCCCGCAUGUCUUAAAAAUGUAAUUAAAGGAACGAUUUAGUUAUAGUCCACUUUUGAGGGGGGAUGUGGUUUUGUGGAGUAACAUGUCCUACACUAUUCUACCAGAAUUUGGAAUUUUUCCAUGAAGAUGUACGGAAAUCUGAUGUUGAAUAUGAAAAUGGCCCCCAAAUGGAAUUCCGAAAGGUUACCACAGGGGCUCUAAGACCUAGUGACCCUCGUAAGUGGGAAAGAGGAAUGGAGAAUAGUAUUUCUGAUGCAUCAAGAACAUCAGAAUAUAAAACUGAGAUCAUAAUGAAGGAAAAUUCCGUAUCCAAUAUGAGUUUACUCAGAGACAGUAGAAACUACUCCCAGAAAACUGUGCCUAAGGCCAAUUUCAGUUUCUCUGGCAUUAGUUCUUUAGAAGAUGAAAUAAACAAAGGGUCUAAAAUCUCAGGCCUGCAAUACUCUAUACCUGACACCGAGAACCAGAAGCUGAAUUACGGAAAGACAAAGGAGAUGGAAAAGCAAAAUACUGAUAAGUGUCACAUUUCCUCUCACACUAGACUAACAGAAUCAAGUGUGCAUGAUUUUAAAACAGAAGAUCAAGAGGUUAUCACGACAGAUUUUGGCCAAGUUGUUCUAAGACCCAAGGGGGCAAGGCAUGCUAAUGUGAACCCUAAUGAGGAUGGAGAAUCAAGUUCAAGUUCUCCCACUGAAGAAAAUGCAGCCACUGACAAUAUUGCCUUCAUGAUUACCAAAACCACUGUCCAGGUUCUUUCCAGUGGGGAGGUGCAUGAUAUUGUUAGCCAAAAGGGAGAAGACAUACAGACGGUUAAUAUCGAUGCCAGAAAAGAGAUGACCCCCCGACAAGAAGGGACUGACAAUGAGGAGCCAGUCGUGUGCCUGGACAAGAAACCAGUGAUCAUCAUUUUCGACGAGCCCAUGGACAUCCGAUCUGCAUAUAAGAGACUUUCAACCAUCUUUGAGGAAUGUGAUGAGGAAUUAGAGAGAAUGAUGAUGGAGGAAAAGA